UGGCGUGUCCAAAACCUUGGAUGUAGCUGCUUAUCCGUAAAGAAGUAGAUAUUCAGGACUGUACGAACAGCCUGGAUAGAAACAAAGACUGGAAAGGAAGAGACUGAAAAAAACUGUUCGAUCUGAAGUGUUAGUCAGCGUCAAAGGAAGAGGUCCUCACGUAAAGACAGCAGGACAGAGGACGUGGUAAAGCCUUAAAAGAGAGACUUUUCCAAAUCAAAGGUGUGCUCUGGUCCCACGGCAACAGAGCUCCCACGCCUUCAUGAAAACAACUGUUCAACAGCUUCAGUGAAGUGCCUUCUCUGUGUGCUUCUUAUGACUCAGCUAAAUCCCAGAGAAGACUGAGGAGACUGUGGUGAAGAGAUGUAUAACAGAGAGAAAAUGACCAUCAGCCUGUGAUCUGUGGUAUGGAACAGUACAGAUUCAUGAUAGGAAAAGGAAAACCAUUCUUCACAGUGAUGGGUGAACUCCAUCUACCACUAGUCGAUGGCUGGUUUCAAGAACAAGCCUGAUUAAAAUGAAUUAUUCAGAAGUAUUUCCACAGGACAUCUAAGAGCAUAACCAGUGAGUGACUAUCUACUUCUCCCCCAGCUAAUACCUGGACAGCUCCUUCUAUUGAAGUUUGAAGCUCCUGAGUCACAUCAUUGUGGUACUUAAGUCCAUUUC